rnacentral:rRNA from 1 species
CGGUCCCUAUCCGUCGCGGGCGUAGGAAAUUUGAGAGGAUCUGUCCUUAGUACGAGAGGACCGGGAUGGACAUACCGCUGGUGUACCAGUUGUUCCGCCAGGAGCAUCGCUGGGUAGCUACGUAUGGAUGAGAUAAACGCUGAAAGCAUCUAAGUGUGAAACUCGCCUCAAGAUGAGAUUUCCCAUUCCAUUUAUGGAAGUAAGACCCCUGAGAGAUGAUCAGGUAGAUAGGUUGGGAGUGGAAGUGUAGUGAUACAUGGAGCGGACCAAUACUAAUCGGUCGAGGACUUAACCACAA